ensembl:lncRNA
GAGCUGACCAGAGUGCUGGGAGCGCGGAUCCCGGGCCGGGAGCGGGAAAAGAGAAACGAGAGGGGCCAGAGGGCAAAAUGGACGCAAGACAGAGAACUCAAGAGAAAAAGAAAAAGAUUCAUUGGAAAGCAGGGAAAGAGGAGGUCUUUCUCUCGCGGAUUUGUUCACCAGACUUGGCUUUCUUGCACAUCCGUGUGGAGACCACCUUAGGAACAAACUGGAAAACCAGUUAAGAGCACUGCGAACCACAAAGCAAACAAAUGGACAAAGAAUUGGAGAAGAUGCAAAUGGGAAGAACGUCGCUUGGUGUUUCGCGUUACGUCUUGAGCAAUCUGCAAAUUCUUGUGGUGAACAAGAGUAACAGCUCUAAAGUGGUCAGGAAACCUGGACAUAACUUCUGAGCCAUAUUUUUGGAACCGUGCCUCUAUUGUCUGGGCCUGCGACUCUGACGUCUACUAAAUAUGAGGAAUUAUGAAGUGAUUGUUAAAUAUUUGAACAGCUAAGGGAAACCGGAAGUAAUGAGAAACAAAACACCCUACAGAUCUGAGUCACAGGAGAUCCACUGUGGCAGGCCCUGUCAACCUCAGCUCCAGCCAUUGUUUUAUGUGUAUAUAUGCCCAGAGAAGAAGCUGUCUGUCUGAAGGUCCCAACUGCCAGCCAUUUAAACUGGGAAGAACAGAAACACAGUUGGAGAACCUCACUCUUCCACUUAGCUCUGAUCAGAAAUUGUUUUUUGCCAGGACUGAGAGGCCACUAGAAUAUCUGUAUCUAAAUGAAACUAUUGUUUUUUGCUGGUUACUCUUUAGGUUUUAAUUUUCCACUGUUAUGUGGACGAUAUGUAAAGUUAAGAUGUAUGAUCGCGUUUUUGGGAGGAUGAGGCAUGGGAUUGUGAGUUUGAUAGCUGGAACUAGUUUACAUCUCGUUUGUUGAGACAUGGGUUCAAUCUGUAGCCUAGAUUGUCCUAGAACUUUCUGUGUAGUCCAGGCUGCUUUGAACUUAUGGAUAUCCUCUUACCUUAGCUUCUAGAAUGCUGAGAUCAUACAUGUGAGCCGUUAUGCUCUAUGUAUAUGUAUUUCUCAA